CUGUCUCCUGCUUCAACUUCUUUCUGCUCAUGGUGAUCUCAGUAUCCCCCAAUUGGCUUGUGCAUCCUUCAGGGGAUAAAGCUUUUGUAAUGGGAUUUUGGACCUACUGUUUCCAUUCCCAAUGUGACAUCAUUUAUCAAACUACAAGAGAUCUGAAUAUUGUCCGGACACUUUUAGUAAUAGCUAUUUUAUGUUCCUUGGCUUCACUGGUCACAUCUCGGGCUCUUCUCAUGCGUUGUGUGCAGAGGAGCGUACCUGAAGGCAUGAUUUCUUCCAUAGCUAACUUCACUGCAGGAAGCUGUGUACUGGCCUGCCUUGUACUUACGGACAUGAAGCUUACAACUAUCAUGGAGCCGGAUAAAUCUGUGGACCUAUUGCUGCAUAAGGAUUUCUACCGGGGUUGCGUCUCCUGUUCUUUGUGGUACCUCUUGGGGAUAGCAAGCUUAUUAUGGUACAGGUACCAACUCUUUCUAGUGAGAAAGUUUGGGAUUGAUGUAGGUUCUGACCAUCACCUAGAGAUAUCUUCAUCUCUCCCUGCAGUAUUUCCCAUGUAGUACUUGAACCAUAUGGACAACUACAGGCAUUCUGUUGUGCGAACUAUACAUGGGAUCCUGGAACCAGAUUGGACAAUGGACAAUCCAAGUGGUGAUGUCAGCUUCCCAGAAGCCCUUCAUGGUGUUGGGCUAGCCUCCUGUACGUCUGCAUGAGACAGACAUAUACACUCCUAUCCAGUAACCAGCCCCUUUUGAAGAGGAACGUUUUGAGACUAUUGUGUGACCCAAGUUGAAGUUUUGGACAACUUGAUAUUUCUGUCUGGCAGUGUUGGACACUUUGUCAUUUCUGUAAGGAAAAAAGCAAAAUCCAGCUUCAUUUCCAAUACAAUCAUAUCCUCAUUUUACUUACACCGAGUCUCACUAAAAGAUUUCUCUUUUCAAAUGAAUUUGAUGGUUCCCAUCCUGAAGUCCAAUUAUAAAUCUGAAUGUUAGAUGGUUGUGAAAAUAUCUAUGUGCAUGUAUAAACUUCGAGUCUACGCUAAGUGCCUUUUGCUCCAAUGAACUUUUUUUAUCACCUGAUGAAUAUUAUUUCUGCAAUUAGCUUCCAUCUGUCAGCCUAGUCUAACAUCAAACAGUGCAACUUCCCUAUGAUAAAUAAAGUUGCUAAG
rnacentral:lncRNA from 11 species